AGUAACAGGGGUGCCUAAAAUGGCUGAGAACUGAUACCCUUUUUACCUGAUUUGGUUAAUGCCAACGUAGGAAGUUUGAAAAU
rnacentral:ncRNA from 1 species